UCACUUACCUGGACGGGGUCAAUGACCUAUCAAGAAGGCUCAUGGCCUAGGUUAGCAGCCUCCAUUGCACUUCGGAGGAGUGCUGGCUUACCAUCUCCCUAAGUGGGAGAAUGGAUGUCAUAAUUUGUGCUAGUAGGGUUACGCGUCCGCGCGGCCCUUGC
rfam:Triticum aestivum genome assembly, contig: Triticum_aestivum_CS42_TGACv1_scaffold_224499_3B